UACAGUCCAAAAAUAAAUAAUGCGGAAAUAUAAAUUUAUUCUACCCUAGACUAAUCCUAUACUACGCUCUACCGCUUCACCCGACGCCUCGGGCCUUCACCACGAAUAUCUUCCAAGUACAAGGUACUUCGGGGCAUUCCCCGGUGAAUAAAUAUAUACAGAUACUUCGGGGCAUUCCCCGGCCAAAUUAUAUAAUUGAAUUAAAUGCGACAAAAAACCAAAACCAUUCCAACACAUAUUUCAAACAUGUCUUCAAUCCACCAUGCCUAAAUUUGCCUACCCGAACCUACCAUUUGCAUAUUUAAUUAGCGACCUAAAAUCGUGACACUAUCGAAUUUAAUCGAGUCGAUGCUUAUCGCGAAUUAAGCGACUAUCAAUGAAUCAACGUAAACUAAUGUUCACUUUUAUCAAUUUUAAUUCCACCCCAAACAAUCAAUCUUAAUUCUCCAAACAAGAUAUCAUCUCAUCACAUAAUCCAUAAUCAAUCCACAAUCAAGGGAAUUAAAAUACCAAACCAGAACAACAAUAAUUCACAUCAUUACGAGUCAACUAACACACAAUAUUAGAAUCAAUGCAUCGGAUACCAUCAACAAUAAAACAAAAGAGGUAAAGAGUAGAAUUAGACCU
rnacentral:lncRNA from 1 species